UCCACGCCCUAAACGAUGCACACUAGUUGUUGCUAUGCUCGACAUAGCAGUAAUGCAGUUAACACAGUAAGUGUGCCGCCUGGGGAGUACGGUCGCAAGAUUAAAACUCAAAGGAAUAGACGGGGACCCGCACAAGCGGUGGAGCAUGUGGUUUAAUUCGACGAUACGCGAAGAACCUUACCUGGCCUUGACAUAGAAAGAACUUUCCAGAGACGGAUUGGUGCUAGUUUAC
rnacentral:rRNA from 1 species